rnacentral:rRNA from 1 species
UACGAAGGGGGCUAGCGUUGCUCGGAAUCACUGGGCGUAAACGGUGCGUAGGCGGGUCUUUAAGUCAGGGGUGAAAUCCUGGAGCUCAACUCCAGAACUGCCUUUGAUACUGAGGAUCUUGAGUUCGGGAGAGGUGAGUGGAACUGCGAGUGUAGAGGUGAAAUUCGUAGAUAUUCGCAAGAACACCAGUGGCGAAGGCGGCUCACUGGCCCGAUACUGACGCUGAGGCACGAAAGCGUGGGGAGCAAACAGG